rnacentral:lncRNA from 1 species
AUGUAAUUCAUGUACAUUGGUUAGGAAAUUCAUGUUGAACAUACAGAAACAAAAUGGGAAGUAGAACCCUCUGCCCUCCAACACUCUAAUUUCUGUUCCCCAAGUUAACCACCAUCAACUGUUUCUUGUAAGUCCUCCCAGGAUUGCUUCCUCGCUGUGUACACACCAUCGUGUAUUUUUCCCUCCCUCUCUCCCUCUACUCCCACACUUACAUGCUUUUAAAAUGUGUAUACAGAGGGGCCAUCUGACACACAUUGCUCUGCACCAGAGGCCUCUUUUCUAAUGUUAAAGACUCCAGGAAGGAGGAGGAGGCUCACGCUGGCUGGCGGGGGUCAGAGCUUUGUGAUUUCAGCAGGGAGGAAUGGGCGAAGGGUACAAAGCCAACAGAAGGGGGGAAAUGGAGCAAGCGUUGGACAAUUGCUGCUAGGACAUAAGCCAGACUGUGGUGAGGUUUAUUUGCAAGAUGGGUUUGAGGGAAUUAAGGAUAAAGUCUGCUGAAAGUAGCACCAGCCUCUGGAUUAAAAGGGAUGUUUGGAUGAAGCUUCAAUCUCAAGAAGAGGCAAGAGAAAACUAAAGAAAAAGAGACAAGAAGGUAGUUGACAAGCUGUGAACCUGCAUUGCAUUCUAGUGAUGGGACACGUGGAAGGGGAAGCUGAAGUUGAAGGGUGGAUGGUAGCAGCCACAGGGAGUGAGAUGGGCUCGUUUCUGGAGCUGUUGGGAGAGAAAAAGGGAGUCAAACGGGAAUUCACACAGGGUUGUGCAUUAUAUCCAAGUGUGUAUUCAGAUACAAGCCUUUAUCUCAAUACCUUCCUUACCCCCAUUCCGCACAUAUCUCAUACCAAAGUACAAAUAAAACCAUUCCCAAUUGUUCUAA